UACGGGGGGGGCAAGCGUUGUUCGGAAUUACUGGGCGUAAAGGGCGCGUAGGCGGCCUGCUAAGUCGGACGUGAAAUCCCUCGGCUCAACCGGGGAACUGCGUCCGAUACUGGCGAGGCUUGAAUCCGGGAGAGGGAUGUGGAAUUCCAGGUGUAGCGGUGAAAUGCGUAGAUAUCUGGAGGAACACCGGUGGCGAAGGCGGUUCUCUGGGCCUUACCUGACGCUGAGGAGCGAAAGCGUGGGGAGCGAACAGG
rnacentral:rRNA from 1 species